rnacentral:lncRNA from 1 species
GGCAAUUGUGGGUAUAAUACACAUUGCUACAUCGUAUUUCUUUAAACUGCAACUGUUUCUUUAACUAAUAACCUUUUACCUAUUUACAGUACACAACAUGUUUACUCCAUCUUGUCUUAAUUUAAUGCAAUAACAAUUCAAGGCUUUGCCUAUGUCAUCCUAACGUCUAGUCCAAAUAAAGAUUAAAGAUGUCUAGGUUAUGACAUUAGACUUAUUUUUUUAUAUAUGACCUUCUCUUAACCCUAAGGUGUAUGUCAACCUAACUUCUAGUCCAAAUACAGAUUAAAGAUGUCUAGGUUAUGACAUUAGACUGAUAAGGGUGUUUUUUCCUUUAUUUUUAUAUAUGAACUGCUUUUAACCCUAAGAUGAAUUAACCCAUACAUUACCAGUAGUAAUUAGAAAUGCUAUACUAUAUAUACAUGCUAGAUCAAUGCUAGAUAGAGACAUACUGACCGACUCUGGAGGUGACAUACUGAGAGAUUACCUGUAUAAUCAGGAGGGUAUGUUAUACUA